CCCUGACCCUUAUGAUGGCAGAGGAAGGUCGUCCUACCUUUCCAUCUCUACAGAUGUGUGGACAAAGCAGAACGGAAAGGCUCAGGAUGACAUUGAUUCUGUGUGAUUGCAGUACCCAAGGUCUGUUCCUCAGUCCGCAUCUCUGGGAACCCUCCAGCUUGAGGAAGAAGAGGAGGCAGUGGGCUCAGCAUCAGCUGCCUUGCAUUCCUUCACAUGCUACAUGGCAACCUUCUCAAUGCCCCCAUCACCAUGGGAAUGAGUGGAAAAAAGGCUCUGAGGGUGGAACUGCAGCUUCUGCAUAGACUUAUCCUACUGCUUCCCCCAUAAUCUAUGGAAUUUACAUGUGUGACGGAUCGUGGACUCUACUUCCUGUCCAACCAGAGCAGUAAAAAAACUGUGCUCCAUUUGUGUACCAUGAAGCAAUCUGCAUUCUGCUAUCCUUUGUUAGAAC
rnacentral:lncRNA from 1 species